rnacentral:rRNA from 1 species
AGUUUGAUCCUGGCUCAGGAUGAACGCUAGCUACAGGCUUAACACAUGCAAGUCGAGGGGCAGCAUUGGAGUAGCAAUACUUCAGAUGGCGACCGGCGCACGGGUGAGUAACACGUAUCCAACCUGCCGCUUACUCGGGGAUAGCCUUUCGAAAGAAAGAUUAAUACCCGAUGGUAUAAAGAGUUCGCAUGUUCUCUUUAUUAAAGAAUUUCGGUAAGCGAUGGGGAUGCGUUCCAUUAGAUAGUUGGCGGGGUAACGGCCCACCAAGUCUACGAUGGAUAGGGGUUCUGAGAGGAAGGUCCCCCACAUUGGAACUGAGACACGGUCCAAACUCCUACGGGAGGCAGCAGUGAGGAAUAUUGGUCAAUGGACGAGAGUCUGAACCAGCCAAGUAGCGUGAAGGAUGACUGCCCUAUGGGUUGUAAACUUCUUUUAUAAGGGAAUAAAGUGAGGGACGUGUCCCUUUUUGUAUGUACCUUAUGAAUAAGGAUCGGCUAACUCCGUGCCAGCAGCCGCGGUAAUACGGAGGAUCCAAGCGUUAUCCGGAUUUAUUGGGUUUAAAGGGAGCGUAGGUUGACAUAUAAGUCAGCUGUGAAAGUUUACGGCUCAACCGUGAAAUUGCAGUUGAUACUGUAUGUCUUGAGUGUACAAGAGGUGGGCGGAAUUCGUGGUGUAGCGGUGAAAUGCUUAGAUAUCACGAAGAACUCCAAUUGCGAAGGCAGCUCACUGGGGUACAACUGACACUGAGGCUCGAAAGUGUGGGUAUCAAACAGGAUUAGAUACCCUGGUAGUCCACACAGUAAACGAUGAAUACUCGCUGUUUGCGAUAUACAGUAAGCGGCCAAGCGAAAGCAUUAAGUAUUCCACCUGGGGAGUACGCCGGCAACGGUGAAACUCAAAGGAAUUGACGGGGGCCCGCACAAGCGGAGGAACAUGUGGUUUAAUUCGAUGAUACGCGAGGAACCUUACCCGGGCUUGAAUUGCAGAGGAACAUAGUUGAAAGAUUAUGGCCGCAAGGUCUCUGUGAAGGUGCUGCAUGGUUGUCGUCAGCUCGUGCCGUGAGGUGUCGGCUUAAGUGCCAUAACGAGCGCAACCCUUAUCAUUAGUUACUAACAGGUCAUGCUGAGGACUCUAGUGAGACUGCCGUCGUAAGAUGUGAGGAAGGUGGA